UACGAAGGGGACUAGCGUUGUUCGGAAUCACUGGGCGUAAAGCGCACGUAGGCGGAUAUGUCAGUCAGGGGUGAAAUCCCGGGGCUCAACCUCGGAACUGCCUUUGAUACAGCAUAUCUUGAGUCCGAUAGAGGUGGGUGGAAUUCCUAGUGUAGAGGUGAAAUUCGUAGAUAUUAGGAAGAACACCGGUGGCGAAGGCGGCUCUCUGGGACGGUACUGACGCUGAGACGCGAAAGCGUGGGGAGCGAACAGG
rnacentral:rRNA from 1 species